rnacentral:rRNA from 1 species
ACAUGCCUACAUCAUAGCGUUAAUGCAUUGGAUCCCAUAAGAAUUCCGCAAUUAAGCACACUCGGGAUAGAGUAGUACCAGGAUGGGUGACCACCCAGGAAGUCCUACUAUUUUACAUGCC